rnacentral:tRNA from 1 species
GUUAGAAUGACCGAGCGGUCCAAGGUGUCAGACUUAAGAUCUGAUGAUUUACGUCGCGUGGGUUCGAAAACUUAUCCCACUUCUAACA